UAAAACUAGCUCUUUUAGUAUUUGUCAAGUAGGGAUCUUCAAUUGAAGAAGCUCCCAU
rnacentral:snRNA from 1 species